rnacentral:lncRNA from 1 species
ACAUCCCUGCGAGGGACUCCGACCAGCCCAAGCGACAUGGAUCCUGAGAGCGCUCCCGGGUAGGCAUUUGCCCCGGUGGGAUGCCUCACCAGAGCAGUGUGUGGCAGGCCCCUGUGGAGGAUCGACGCAGUGGCUGAAUACUGGGAAGGAACUGGUACUUGGAGUCCAGACAUCUGAAACUUGCUUGCUCUGGCUAACAACCACUAUCAUCAAAGUUGUCUGAGGAAGACCUCCUGUUGCUGUGACUGACGGGACUCUUGGUGGAAGCCCUAUUCCCAUGUGCCCAUGGCUGCAGCUCCCCAAGGAAGCAGGACAUUGUUGGAUUCUCUAAGAAGCUCAGAGGAAGUUACUUCUCACUGUGGUGCCAUAUGGGAUUUGAAGUCGUUCUACUCAUGCUCUGUUUUUCAAUAAAGCUGCUUCUGCCUCUGU